GAUGAACGCUGGCGGCGUGCCUAAUACAUGCAAGUCGAGCGAACGGACUAGAAUCUUUCUUCUCUGAUGUUAGCGGCUGACGGGCGAUUAACACGUGGAUAACCUACCUAUAAUACUGGGAUAACUUCGUGAAACCUGAUCUAAUACCGGAUAAUAUUUUUAUCCUCAUGGUUCAUAAUUUAUUUACGUUCUUUCUGUCUCUUCUAGAUGUUUCCCCGCUGCAUUAGCUAGUUGGUAAGGUAACGGCUUACCAAGGCAACGAUGCAUAGCCGACCUGAGAGGGUGAGCGGCCACACUGGAAGUGAGACAGGGACAAGAGUACUAAGGGAGGAAGCAGUAGGGAAUAUUAGGCAAUGGGCGAAAGCAUGACGGAGCAAAGCCGCGUGAGUGAAGAAGGUCUUAGGAGCGUAAAACUAUGUUAUUAGGGAAGAAAAUAUGUGUAAGAAAAUGUGCACAUAGUGACGGUAACUAAUAAGAAAGCCACGGCUAACUACGUG
rnacentral:rRNA from 1 species